UACGUGAGCAGCGAGCGUUGUUCGGAAUUACUGGGCGUAAAGCGUGCGCAGGCGGUUUUGUAAGACAGGCGUGAAAUCCCCGGGCUUAACCUGGGAAUUGCGCUUGAAACUAGCGGGCUUGAGUGUGGCAGAGGGGGGGUGGAAUUCCACGUGUAGCAGUGAAAUGCGUAGAGAUGUGGAGGAACACCGAUGGCGAAGGCAGCCCCCCUGGGUCAACACUGACGCUCAUGCACGAAAGCGUGGGGAGCAAACAGG
rnacentral:rRNA from 1 species